GGCCUAGUAGAGAAAUGGCUAACUCAUCGGACUUCUAAUCCGAAGAUUUUCGGUUCGAGUCCGGCCUAGGUCU
rnacentral:tRNA from 1 species